rnacentral:rRNA from 1 species
ACGCACGCUGGCAGCGUGCUUCACCCCUGCCAGUCGAACGGAAAGGCCCUGCUUUUGUGGGGUGCUCGAGUGGCGAACGGGUGAGUAACACGUGAGUAACCUGCCCUUGACUUUGGGAUAACUUCAGGAAACUGGGGCUAAUACCGGAUAGGAGCUCCUGCUGCAUGGUGGGGGUUGGAAAGUUUCGGCGGUUGGGGAUGGACUCGCGGCUUAUCAGCUUGUUGGUGGGGUAGUGGCUUACCAAGGCUUUGACGGGUAGCCGGCCUGAGAGGGUGACCGGCCACAUUGGGACUGAGAUACGGCCCAGACUCCUACGGGAGGCAGCAGUGGGGAAUAUUGCACAAUGGGCGGAAGCCUGAUGCAGCAACGCCGCGUGCGGGAUGACGGCCUUCGGGUUGUAAACCGCUUUCGCCUGUGACGAAGCGUGAGUGACGGUAAUGGGUAAAGAAGCACCGGCUAACUACGUG